rnacentral:rRNA from 1 species
AAGUCGUAACAAGGUUUCCGUAGGUGAACCUGCGGAAGGAUCAUUAGUGAUUGCCAUCUUGGCUUAAACUAUAUCCAUCUACGCCUGUGAACCGUUUGAUUGAAUCUUCUGAUUCAAUUUUACAAACAUUGUGUAAUGAACGUCAUUAGAUCAUAACAAAAAAAAACUUUUAACAACGGAUCUCUUGGCUCUCGCAUCGAUGAAGAACGCAGCGAAAUGCGAUAAGUAAUGUGAAUUGCAGAAUUCAGUGAAUCAUUGAAUCUUUGAACGCAACUUGCGCUCUCUGGUAUUCCGGAGAGCAUGCCUGUUUGAGUGUCAUGAAAUCUCAACCAUUAGGGUUUCUUAAUGGCUUGGAUUUGGAGGUUGCCAUUCUAAAUGGCUCCUCUUAAAGGAGUUAGCAAGUUUCACUAUUGCUAUCUGGCGUAAUAAGUUUCGCUGGAAUGGUAUUGUGAAGCGUGCUUCUAAUCGUCUUCGGACAAUUACUUUGACUCUGGCCUCAAACCAGGUAGGACUACCCGCUGAACUUAA